UCCCACUAUAUCUCUGUCUCAACAUCUUCCCGUGUCCCGCUCUGCUUGGCUCUAAUGGAUGGAUGGCUGCUUCAAUCUCCAGGAAAAGCUUCAAAAGGGAGAGUGUCAGGGGCCAGGAGGGGUGUGGAGCUGGAGGACAGCAGGCAGGGGACCAAUGUUGGAUUGUUCCGGAGAGCCGAGUGGAAUGAGAGAGGGAGAAAGAGAGAGAGGAGGGUGUGUCGAAGGUCUGGAGGCAGGUAGAGAGCCAUGUGAAGUACGUCUAAGCCCCCUGCUUCUUCUCGCAAAGAAGAUUUGUAGCAAUCAUCGCCGAAGACAUGUGCUGCACGGACAUACUACAACCUUAUCACAACCCCUGCAAUGUUUCCUGUCUGUACAUCUUAUCUGCAUUGCUCAGGGAGGCAGGCUGCUCUUAUAAAUCAAGAUUUCAGCAUUCAGUCAACAUCACAUUGGCGUAGGAGCUAUUCUCCCUUUCUGCAUUUGGAAUUACCCUCCGCAGCUACAUUCGCAUGAAGGGUGCAGUGGGGAUUGUGCAUCGCAAUGCAACGGCAGGCAGGAAAAAUAGCGCGACCAUUUUUGUCUCCCACGUGAACGUAUUAAUUUGUAGCCCGGACUGAUUCUCUCUUCCUCUGCCGGUGGCCCCUGGGUUUAGCAGAACUGGAGCCUCAUCCCAGCCGCGGUGCACCUGAUUCCUCUUCCUCUCCCCAAAGACCCCGGCGCCGUCCCCCAUUUGUCAUUGGUAAGCAUGCCGACAAGCCAUGCUUCACUCGACGGGGGAAGGGGACCUGAAGCGAGCAAAACAAAGGGACAACAAAAUCAGCAUAAUUCCUCUCAAAAUGAAAACACAUUCUUCACGAAGGGGGGUAAAAUAAUGCAAUUAUCCUGGCGAAGACUGUCACUGGCAGGAUGAUGAAUUUUGGGAUGCAGACAUGGAAUGUGACACUGUUCCUCGUAAAAAAAAAAAAAACCUGAAAAAAAAAUGGUUUACUCAAAAGAUAAAGAGGAGCGUUUUAGAACCCAGGGCUUCCACCUCACUUCUUGAAAGCAGCAUUUGGAAACACAGUAGAUAAUCAUCAUGCUUCACCUUUGAAGAAGAAUUUUCUGCGAGGAAAUCACAAAAAAACGAGCCAGUGGAGGACCGAUUGCUGAGCGUGCAAUCAAACUUUUGUGAUGAAUGAUUACUCGCUGUCAUUACACAUCCUUUGCCUGCUCCGUGUGCUACCCCCUUGUGGAGAGCAGUCGAUGCGUUUUCCAAAGUGUUUUUAAAUACCCACGCUUAAUAUCCUUGAUGAUGAAUGGGUGGACUUGCAUAUGGUGGAGGCGGGGUAGAGGGAAGCCUGACGAAAUUACAAUGCGAGCUGAUUGAUCUAUGCAGAGCUGGCAUGCAGCCGGGGAGCAGGUUAAACUGAUGAAUGGAGAUUUGUGUCAGAGGCCAAUGCGGAGAUUGUCAGGAGACCUGACCUUCACAACCGCUCUGGAAUCCCCGCAUGGGCCCGGAUCCACGGCACCCGACCAAAACCCGUCCAUCAUUUCCAGGGUGAAAUCUGUCUUCACUGGGGAAACUGGUGUGAGUCAGUACAGCUUACUCACUUGAAGAUGCUUGUAUCGGCAUAGUCGUUAUGAUUUACAGCGCCGCUGAGGUGUGGAUGUGUGAUCAUUUCCCGCACAUCCUGAAAGAGAUGACAGCACUAGCAACAUAAAUGAGAGGCUUUCACAGAGGAGUGAACUGCUUAAUGUUGUCGGGCUGCGAGUUGUCAUGACAAUAUCUAAUCAGUGGAGCCGAUAAGGAAGGAAGAGUUCCAAUACAUUUCGUAUCAUAUCAAAUCUUUUCAAAUCACACAGAAAUUAGAUCAUUUAUCUGUUGGCUAUAUUGAUGCUAUCUUUCGUCAACAAUCAGAAACAGCUUUUUCUUCAGCUUCUUCUUCCUUUUUUUUAUCCCAGAAGCCAAAUGAGUCCAUCAAUCGAGGGUAGAUGGAAGUUUCUGCCCUGUUUUUAUUAAACACACAGACACACACACAAAGUCACACACUUCAAGAAAAUCAGUACUGCAAGAGGAAGCAGCAGGGGUUCACUACUGGGAGACUCAUUGUGCCCAUCAUGCAAAUUUAACCUCUGAACUGUAAAAAUGGGUUUGAGUCUUUUUUUUUUUUCCCAUCACCAUCAAACACUUCUGUGUGAGGUGCACUUUUAUUACAAACAAGAAAUAAGUUUUAUUUUUUUUAGAUAGAAAUUGUUGAUUACAUUACCCAAGCAACAGCACUCUUAAUGCUGUGUCUUUUUUUAAACCGUUGCACAGUGUAAAUAUAAAUGCUUAGCCUUUGCAUUUAGUGCUGGAGAUUACUGUGAAGAGUGACAUUUAACAAGUAAUACUAAGGUAGAGACAGUUUAAAGACAGUUUAAAAAACAUGAAUUAAUAAAUACAAUUAAAGCUAAAUUAAUAAAAGCUGAUAAAAACACACACUCGCCGGCCACUUUAUUAGGUACACCUGUCCAACGGCUCGUUAACGCAAAUUUCUAAUCAGCCAAUCACAUGGCAGCAACUCAGUGCAUUUAGGCAUGUAGACAGGGUCAAGACGAUCUGCUGAAGUUAAACCUGAGGAUCUAAAUGGGGAAGAAAGGUGACUUAAGUGACUUUGAAUGUGGCAUGGUUGUUGAUGCCAGACGGGCUGGCCUGAGUAUUUUAGAAGCUGCUGAUCUACUGAUAUUUUCACGCUUAACCAUCUCUAGGGUUUACAAAGAAUGCUUUGGGAAAAAGUGAAAAUAUCUAGUGAGCGACA
ensembl:lincRNA